rnacentral:miRNA from 1 species
CUGCGUGUCGCUCAGUCAUUUU